CAGUCGCCACGGUAAUACGAAGGGGGCUAGCGUUGCUCGGAAUGACUGGGCGUAAAGGGCGCGUAGGCGGCGAUCAAAGUCAGGCGUGAAAUUCCUGGGCUCAACCUGGGGGCUGCGUUUGAUACUUGAUUGCUAGAGUGGGGAAGAGGGUCGUGGAAUUCCCAGUGUAGAGGUGAGAUUCGUAGAUAUUGGGAAGAACACCGGUGGCGAAGGCGGCGACCUGGUCCUUGACUGACGCUGAGGCGCGAAAGCGUGGGGAGCAAACAGGAUUAGAUACCCGCGUAGUCCCUGUCUCUUAUAC
rnacentral:rRNA from 1 species